rfam:Oryza glaberrima chromosome 12 Oglab12_0062_11, whole genome shotgun sequence.
UAUAAGGGAUUUUAAGUUUUUGCUUGCAACAUUUGAUCACUCGUCUUAUUCAAAAAUUUUAAAAUUAUUAUUUAUUUUAUUUGUGACUUGCUUUAAUAUCCACAAUACUUUAAGCACAACUUUUCGUUUUUUAUAUUUGCAAAAAAUAUUUUAAAUAAGACGAGUGGUCAAACGUUACAAGCAAAAACUUAAA